AUGCAAGUCGAGGGGCAUCAGGAAGAAAGCUUGCUUUCUUUGCUGGCGACCGGCGCACGGGUGAGUAACACGUAUCCAACCUGCCCUUUACUCGGGGAUAGCCUUUCGAAAGAAAGAUUAAUACCCGAUGGGAUAAUCAUUCCGCAUGGUUUGAUUAUUAAAGGAUUCCGGUAAAGGAUGGGGAUGCGUUCCAUUAGGUUGUUGGUGAGGUAACGGCCCACCAAGCCUUCGAUGGAUAGGGGUUCUGAGAGGAAGGUCCCCCACAUUGGAACUGAGACACGGUCCAAACUCCUACGGGAGGCAGCAGUGAGGAAUAUUGGUCAAUGGGCGAUGGCCUGAACCAGCCAAGUAGCGUGAAGGAUGACUGCCCUAUGGGUUGUAAACUUCUUUUAUAUUAGAAUAAAGUGCAGUAUGUAUACUGUUUUGUAUGUAUAAUAUGAAUAAGGAUCGGCUAACUCCGUGCCAGCAGCCGCGGUAAUACGGAGGAUCCGAGCGUUAUCCGGAUUUAUUGGGUUUAAAGGGAGCGUAGGUGGACUGGUAAGUCAGUUGUGAAAGUUUGCGGCUCAACCGUAAAAUUGCAGUUGAUACUGUCAGUCUUGAGUACAGUAGAGGUGGGCAGAAUUCGUGGUGUAGCGGUGAAAUGCUUAGAUAUCACGAAGACUCCGAUUGCGAAGGCAGCUCACUGGACUGCAACUGACACUGAUGCUCGA
rnacentral:rRNA from 1 species